rnacentral:rRNA from 1 species
CCUACGGGUGGCAGCAGUGGGGAAUAUUGCACAAUGGGGGAAACCCUGAUGCAGCGACGCCGCGUGAGUGAAGGAGUAUCUCGGUACGUAAAGCUCUAUCAGCAGGGAAGAAGAUGACGGUACCUUACUAAGAAGCCCCCGCUAACUACGUGGCAGCAGCCGCAGUAAUACGUAGGGGGCAAGCGGUAUCCGGAUUUACUGGGUGUAAAGGGGGCGUAGACGGGAGCCCAAGUCAGGAGGGAAAUCCCGGGGCUCAACCCCGGGACUGCUUUGGAAACUGGGCGGCUGGAGUGCAGGAGGGGGAGGCGGAAGUCCUGGUGUAGCGGUGAAAUGCGUAGAUAUUAGGAGGAACACCGGUGGCGAAGGCGGCCUGCUGGACUGUGACUGACGUUGAGGCCCGAAAGCGUGGGGAGCAAACAGGAUUAGAUACCCUAGUAGUC